rnacentral:misc_RNA from 1 species
GUGAAUCAGCGUGUAAAUCAUCGUUCGCGAACACUCUUUCGCAUUUUUUCUUCCUUUGAGCGUGACAGCCGCUGGCGUUUCUAUGUCAAGUGAGCUUCGGCUAUGACGAAUUUUUUAACUUAUCUGAGUCUCAAGAGUUUGCUGUAAGAGAUUCAUUUCCUUUCGAGUGCUUGUUAUGAGUGAUACGUAAAGUGAAGUGGGUAGAUAUGUAAUUUUGAGUCUAAUUAAAAUUUUAGAUUAAGAUUUCAAAAAAAUAUUAAUUUAAAGGGAAAUUGUAAGACUUCUCGCGAUGCACAUCGCAUGAGAGAUGCGAAGUCAUUGUAUUUAAAAGCAACUCUUCCGUCUAUUUCCGUUGAAUUAUGCGAUCCGAUGACUGACGUCUUUCUCAUGCAAAAACGUGCUUUAAUGUUGUUAUCAGGAAUCGUGAGGUAGCGAAUGGCGAUGUUUGCAAACGAAAAACGAGAAACAGAGAUAAUCUCUGAGAUCCGAGAUUUUGAGUAUGACGCGAGUCCAUGAAGGAUGCUGAGCGAACGAAAGAUAAAAACGAGUUCGCAGUCAUCUUGCUUCUAAGAAGAACGAAAAAAUUCACAACAACAAGAGAAUCGACGAGAAUAACGUCGCUUUCCAUGAAGGAAAAUAUUCACAAUUGCAUUGCAGAAAAUCCGAAAUGCAAUCUUCACUCGCAAGAACGAUCUCCACGGAAGAGAAACUGAGAAGUGAUACAUUGUUGUAUUUGAAAGAGAUAAUAUGUUCAAUCUGAACCGGAUCUCAAUGUACUCGAUAUCAAAUUAAUGUCGCAUCGAAGAGUACAGUGAUCGACAAAGUACAUAAGAGCGAAAUCAUAUAUAUAAAGAGAGUGUAAUAACUUACGAUCGUUGUGUCCAAGAUGGAUCCUACACCCGAAAUGGACGAUGUAUCAUCCACAUCGAAUGUUGCGAGUAGAUUUAACAUUAUACCCAAAAUUGAGAUAACACCGAAUGUCACGUCCACGAUUGAUGUCGCGCCCGAGACGGAAAGAAUGGAAAAGAAUCCCGCUGACGACGUAAUUAAAGUCGAUGCUACGGAGCCUGAAAUUCACGUGAUGUCUAACGCGGAGACGUCUAAUAAAGUAGACGAGAUGUCCACCGAUAAAUCUUCCGAUAUUACCGCGCCUUCCAAAAAACCGCGCCGGAAGGCGCGUGCGGAUCAACGAGAAAGACGUCAUUCUAUCGCGGCGUUAGAUCGAUCUGUGUUAAAAUAUAAAUCCGAGAGGGACCUCGUUGAGACGGAAAGUGACACUAUAUCGAACAGCGCCGGUGUUUUGGCGUCGGAUGACAGUUUCCUCGGAAAUAUUCAACGCGAGGAGAGUUUGAGAAAGUCAAGUUCUGUCGCCAGUGAGGCAUCGAAGAUCCAAACGUCCGCGAUUGAAAGUCCCGCAAGGGUGAAACGGGCCGAAGAACCGUUUGACAGGGCGACUUCCGAAACUACGGAGGACGUUCUUGAAAACGAGAAGUCAAAGCUGGAGAGAGCGUCGGCGAUGAUAGGAGUUUGGAAGGCGCGAAUAACCGAAGGGUCGUCCACCGAAAGUCUGUCCGGGAUCAAGAAGAGGAAGGCCAAGGGUUCAUUAAGAAGUUCUCUAAAGCGGAAAGUGGAAUUGAUAGAGAGGAUACUGGAAGAUCAGGUGGAACAGAUUUGGGAGGAGAACAGGGAGAAACAUAAGUGGCUUCAACCGAUCGAGACGUGGAUCGUCGAUCAUUGCAAGCCUUCCAUCAGUUACACGUUAACACACAGUGAUGACGCAUCCGUUAGCUUGACGGACGUCGAUCAAAACGCUGUGCCGGAACCCACGUACGAUUUCAAGUUUACGCCAGCGAAGGGAGAAAACGAGGAGCCGAAACUUGAGAGCAGAUUGAUGGAAAAUCAAUUGGCCGCGAGGAUCGACGAGCCGAGGAUCGAGCCCCGAGUGAUCGAGCAUUUGCGAAAAUUGCGAAAUCGAUCUGCUUCGCCAAAAUCGGAUCGAUUCGAACCGGCGAGUUUGAUUACGCAACCAGACAAGCAGGAAACUGUUUCCCCACACGUGGAAAACAGAGAAGAAAACUCAGACGUUUUAGACGAUCCUGGCAUCUUGGAAGUGAAGGAGAUCAAACGUUAUGAUUUUCUGGACAAAUUGAAGGACAAUGUUAAAGAAAAAAUAGAGGAUAUUUACAGGUAUUUUCAGAGAACUAAUCGAUUGGCGGACGUGAAUAGACGGCUGAAAUCGCAGAUAUGGAGUUCGGUGGUGACAAUUGUACUUGUGGAGGCAAAGAAUUUAUUGCCGAUGGACAUAGACGGUUUAUCGGAUCCUUACGUGAAGUUUCGGCUCGGCACGGAGAAAUACAAGUCGAAAGUCGUUAACAAAACAUUGAAUCCAAUUUGGUUGGAGCAGUUUGACCUGCACCUCUACGAGGACCCGUAUCUGGGACAAGAGUUGGAGGUGACGGUUUGGGAUAGAGAUAAAAGUCAUCAGGACGAUCUGAUGGGCAAGACGGUGAUCAAUCUGGCGAUUCUCGAGCGCGAGACCACGCAUCGAUUAUGGCGCGAGCUCGAGGACGGGGCCGGCAGUAUUUUUUUACUGUUGACAAUAAGCGGUACCACGGCCAGCGAGACAAUCAGCGAUUUGGCAGCGCACGAGGAAACGCCGGUGGAACACGCACAAUUAGUCCAACGAUAUGCCAUCAUGAAUACAUUGCAGAGGAUACGUGACGUAGGUCACCUGACAGUGAAGGUAUACCGUGCGCAAGGUCUUGCAGCUGCUGAUCUCGGCGGUAAAAGCGACCCUUUCUGCGUUCUGGAGCUCGUAAAUGCCAGAUUGCAAACUCAAACGGAAUAUAAAACGCUCGCGCCGAAUUGGCAAAAAAUUUUCACCUUCAAUGUAAAGGACAUCAAUUCCGUCCUGGAGGUGACAGUAUAUGAUGAAGAUCGAGAUCAUAAGGUGGAGUUUCUUGGAAAGGUAGCGAUACCGUUGUUAAAAAUUCGCAACGGCGAGAAACGGUGGUACGCGUUGAAAGAUAAGAAAUUGAGGGGCCGUGCGAAGGGUAACUGCCCUCAGAUUCUUUUGGAGAUGACCGUCAUAUGGAACAUAUUCAGGGCGUGCAUUAGAACGCUCAAUCCGAAGGAAAAGAAAUAUAUGGAGCCAGAGGUGAAAUUCAAAAGACAAGUCUUUCUGCGAAACGUUCUCAGGCUCAAAGCUAUUAUCGUAAUUUUCAUCGACAUAGGAAAAUACAUACAGAGCUGCUGGGAAUGGGAAAACAAGAUGAGAAGCGUCUUUGCUCUGGUAAUUUUUAUUUUUGGAUGUUACUACUUCGAGCCAUAUAUGAUACCGGGCGUGGCAUUAUUGAUUCUUCUGAAGUAUUAUCUGCGGCGAGAGGAGCGGGUUCAAUCAUUGGAUUUGCGGACAGGUCGCUGUGGUGACGGGCGCUCCUUUGAUUUACGCGACUUCGCAGUUUCAAGAUCACUCCGAGAUCGGGUCUGACGAUUGUCCGCCGACGCCGGGAGAUGACGACGAUGACGAGGACGACAAAGAUAAAGAGGAAAAGAAAAGUCUGAAGGAGCGUUUACAGGCGAUUCAAGAAGUGACGCAGACAGUUCAAAACUCGAUCGGUUAC